GGGAAGCGGAGCGGGGGGUGACAGGACAAGGGGAAUAGAUUCCAGGAGAGAACAGGUUCAGAGUAGCUAUAGAGGAGGAAGUUCUCUGCUGUGAGGGUGGUGAAGCGCGGGCUGCCCAGAGAAGUUGUGGAUCUGCAUCCCUGGAAGUGUUCAAGGCCAUGCUGGAUGGGGCUCUGACCAGCCUAGUCUAGUGGAAGGUGUCUCUGCUCAUGGCAGGGGGAUUGAAACGAGAUGAUCUGUAAGGUCCUUUCCAACCCAUGCCAUUCCGUGCCUCUACGAUGAAUUCUGUGUGGGGUGAGCUGUGUCGGGGGCAGGGUGAGCACAGGGCACGGUUGCUCAUGCAGUGUGUGUACCUGGCGUUAGGCGUCUGCCAGGGGCAGGCACAGACGUUUCUUCCAAGUGAUGACUUGGAUCAGUGUUCUACACUGGGUUAUUUUUAUCCAAGGCCUGUUACUUAAUCUUGUUUCCAUGAUUGCCCACAUGCUUUUAUUUGCACGUUACGGAGAGAGUAGGAGCAUGUGGUGUGAAGGAUGACAAGUAGAAAUAGAAACUAAAGCUACAGCUUUAGAGGUAGUGAAUGAGGCUAGUUGGUAUCUCUCUUGGCAAAUAAAAAGAAAUGAAAGAGAACUAAAGAUUUUUGCUGAUGAAGUGUGAAGAUUGCAUUAGUCUGUUAUUUAAACUGCACAUUUUAUCAUUUUAGUCAUCCUUUGACCCACCAAAAUGGACUUUUACACUGAGAACAGUUCCAUAUAAACAGGACAAGUAUAAACCAGUGCUGGAAAAACAUUCUUUAUUCACGGUGAACAAACUGACCAAAGAACCGUGUGAGCUGCCUUAUGUGGAAGAAAAUUAAUGAAGCGUUUUUGGGGUGAUGACUGCACAUUUUUACCAAUGUUAACUCCUCCGUUGAAUUUGAAUGUUUUCAGUCUGAAGAUGAACAGUAAAGGACAACAUAGAUGUUGGAGACAGGAGUCUGGUCUGGUAGGCUGUUGAACAUCAUCUGCAGCACGGAACUACAGUCUUUAUCCAAGAAGCAGGGUCCUUUCUUACAGGUGGCAAGAUGCAAAACACGUUUUCAAGUAUCUUCUUCAGCAGAUAUAGGGAACAAAGUAAAAUCAAAGAAGAAAACACUGCAGUUUUCUUAUAAUAGUGGAUAUUAACCUUAUGUUGUCUUUUGUGUCUUUUCGUUGUAGACACUUGUUUGGACUGAGAUGCAUAUUAAAUAACCUCUGACAAUGUGUUAAGAUAGUGAUAGCGUUUAGCAGUGCCCUCUGCAGGCUUUUAUUUGGUAAGCAGAGAAAGCUGUAGCAACUCUGCUCUGUUUGGAUUAUGUGUUUAUACUGGUUGAGCUGGUUCUUUUUAUGUAUUUUGCUAGCAGAGUACCAUCUGAACUUUGGAAUUUUGUUCCCAAGCUUCUUGGAAAAAAACACAGAGUGCUGUAAGUGAUCAUCCACUAAGUGCUACAGAAAUUACCCACUUGUUUCAAGAGCUUAUUUCGUAUCAGUUUGUGUGUUACAACCAUACAGUGUCCUGGGCAACAGGAAUUCAAGUUCCCAUCUCUCUUCCCCCUCGGAACUUAGUUCUUUCUGUA